CAGUUGGUUAAUUCAUGAGAGAGGAACAGGGUAAUGAUUAAUAGGGAUAGUUGGGGGCAUUAAUAUUUAAUUGUCAGAGGUGAAAUUCUUGGAUUUAUGAAAGAUUAACUUCUGCGAAAGCAUCUGCCAAGGAUGUUUUCAUUAAUCAAGAACGAAAGUUAGGGGAUCGAAGACGAUCAGAUACCGUCGUAGUCUUAACCAUAAACGAUGCCGACCAGCGAUUAGGAGACGUUGAAUACAAAACACCUCUAUAUAUAAUUCAGUAUAUGGCUAGCAAUGGCUGUAUAUUGUUUGUGUAUAGUUACGGUGAAUGACUCCCCUAGAGCUUGUGAGAAAA
rnacentral:rRNA from 1 species